GAGGAACUCCAGAAGCAAAUGGAUGAAACGAAGAAGGAAUUAGAAUGGAGAAGGGUUCAGAACAAUUCAGAUGACAUCACUCUUCAUGGAAUCACGGCCCAUCCUAACCUCCACAUUUCUGGGGAUAAGAAGAGUUUUAAACAUGAAG